GUGAGGAAUAUUGGUCAAUGGGCGGAAGCCUGAACCAGCCAAGUCGCGUGAGGGAUUAAGGCCCUGCGGGUCGUAAACCUCUUUUGCCGGGGAGCAGUGGUCCGGACGUGUCCGGGCCGGGAGAGUACCCGGAGAAAAAGCAUCGGCUAACUCCGUGCCAGCAGCCGCGGUAAUACGGAGGAUGCGAGCGUUAUCCGGAUUUAUUGGGUUUAAAGGGUGCGUAGGCGGGCAUUUAAGCCGGCGGUCAAAUGUCGGGGCUCAACCCCGGCCUGCCGUCGGAACUGGGUGCCUUGAGUGGGCGAGAAGUAUGCGGAAUGCGUGGUGUAGCGGUGAAAUGCAUAGAUAUCACGCAGAACCCCGAUUGCGAAGGCAGCAUACCGGCGCCCUACUGACGCUGAGGCACGAAAGUGCGGGUAUCGAACAGG
rnacentral:rRNA from 1 species